rnacentral:rRNA from 1 species
AACGAACGCUGGCGGCAUGCCUAACACAUGCAAGUCGAACGAUGCCUUCGGGCAUAGUGGCGCACGGGUGCGUAACGCGUGGGAAUCUGCCUUUCGGUUCGGAAUAACCCAGGGAAACUUGAGCUAAUACCGGAUAACGUCGCAAGACCAAAGAUUUAUCACCGAAAGAUGAGCCCGCGUAGGAUUAGCUAGUUGGUGAGGUAAAGGCUCACCAAGGCGACGAUCCUUAGCUGGUCUGAGAGGAUGAUCAGCCACACUGGGACUGAGACACGGCCCAGACUCCUACGGGAGGCAGCAGUGGGGAAUAUUGGACAAUGGGCGAAAGCCUGAUCCAGCAAUGCCGCGUGAGUGAUGAAGGCCUUAGGGUUGUAAAGCUCUUUUACCCGGGAAGAUAAUGACGGUACCGGGAGAAUAAGCCCCGGCUAACUACGUG